rnacentral:rRNA from 1 species
AUGCAUGUCUAAGUAUAAGCAAUUAUACCGUGAUACUGCGAAUGGCUCAUUAAAUCAGUUAUCGUUUAUUUGAUAGUACCUUACUACUUGGAUAACCGUGGUAAUUCUAGAGCUAAUACAUGCUGAAAACCCCAACUUCGGGAGGGGUGUAUUUAUUAGAUAAAAAACCAACGCCCUUCGGGGCUUCUUGGUGAUUCAUGAUAACUUCACGGAUCGCAUGGCCUUGCGCCGGCGACGGUUCAUUCAAAUUUCUGCCCUAUCAACUUUCGAUGGUAAGGUAUUGGCUUACCAUGGUUUCAACGGGUAACGGGGAAUUAGGGUUCGAUUCCGGAGAGGGAGCCUGAGAAACGGCUACCACAUCCAAGGAAGGCAGCAGGCGCCCAAAUUACCCAAUCCCGACACGGGGAGGUAGUGACAAUAA